rnacentral:rRNA from 1 species
CGGGUGCACUGAUCCAGCCGGGCCUUUCCCUCUGUGGAACCCCAUGGCCUUCACUGGCUGUGGUGGGGAAACAGGACUUUUACUUUGAAAAAAUUAGAGUGCUCCAGGCAGGCCUAUGCUCGAAUACAUUAGCAUGGAAUAAUAGAAUAGGACGUGUGGUUCUAUUUUGUUGGUUUCUAGGACCGCCGUAAUGAUUAAUAGGGACAGUCGGGGGCAUCAGUAUUCAAUUGUCAGAGGUGAAAUUCUUGGAUCUAUUGAAGACUAACUACUGCGAAAGCAUUUGCCAAGGAUGUUUUCAUUGAUAAGGAACGAAAGUUAGGGGAUCGAAGACGAUCAGAUACCGUCGUAGUCUUAACUAUAAACUAUGCCGACUAGGGAUCGGACGAUGUUAUUCUUUGACGCGUUCGGCACCUUUCGAGAAAUCAAAGUGCUUGGGCUCCAGGGGGAGUAUGGUCGCAAGGCUGAAACUUAAAGAAAUUGACGGAAGGGCACCACCAGGGGUGGAACCUGCGGCUUAAUUUGACUCAACACGAGGAAACUCACCAGGUCCAGACACAGUGAGGAUUGACAGAUUGAGAGCUCUUUCUUGAUUCUGUGGGUGGUGGUGCAUGGGCCGUUCUUAGUUGGUGGAGUGAUUUGUCUGCUUAAUUGCGAUAACGAACGAGACCUUAACCUGCUAAAUAGCCCGUACUGCUUUGGCAGUUCGCCGGCUUCUUAGAGGGACUAUCGG